UACGAAGGGGGCUAGCGUUGUUCGGAAUUACUGGGCGUAAAGUGCGCGCAGGCGGCUAUCCAAGUCAGUGGUGAAAGCCCGGAGCUCAACUCCGGAACUGCCAUUGAAACUGUUUAGCUUGAGGAUGAGAGAGGUGAGUGGAAUUCCCAGUGUAGAGGUGAAAUUCGUAGAUAUUGGGAAGAACACCGGUGGCGAAGGCGGCUCACUGGCUCAUUACUGACGCUCAGGCGCGAUAGCGUGGGGAGCAAACAGG
rnacentral:rRNA from 1 species